rnacentral:lncRNA from 1 species
GUAUAUUUCCUUGCCGCUCCUCGUAAGGGGGCGUCUUCGAGGUUCGGUUUCACCAUCGAACAGAUCCUUGCGUUUUCUCCAUGUGUCAUCGUCGCGAAGCCACCUUCGAUGUCCCAUGAACACGGUUUUUGAAGACCCGGGAUCUCUAUCUAGCUGGCGAUACAUUGUGUCAUCCAUGCACCUGACGCAUCCAGAAAAUCCGUGGACCACCUGCCCCGCAACAUAUCCAUAAC